GACGAACGCUGGCGGCGUGCCUAAUACAUGCAAGUCGAACGAGUGGCGGACGGGUGAGUAAUGUCUGGGAAACUGCCCGAUGGAGGGGGAUAACUACUGGAAACGGUAGCUAAUACCGCAUACCAUCGGAUGUGCCCAGAUGGGAUUAGCUAGUAGGUGGGGUAACGGCACACCUAGGCGACGAUCCCUAGCUGGUCUGAGGGGGUGACCGGCCACACUGGAACUGGGACACGGGCCAGACUCCUACGGGAGGAAGCAGUGGGUAAGUUUGCACAAUGGGGGCAAGCACGAGGAAGCCAUGCCGCGUGUAUGAAUAAGGCAUACGGGUUGUAAAGUACUUUCAGCGAGGAGGCGUUACUCGCAGAAGAAGCACCGGCUAACUCCGUGCCAGCAGCCGCGGUAAUAC
rnacentral:rRNA from 1 species